GUUUACAGCCACACCACUCUGAACACACCGAUCUCAUCUGAUCCUGGAAGCUAAGCAGGGUCGGGCCUGGUUAGUACAUGGAUGGGAGACCACCUGGGAUUAACUGGUGCUGUAGGCU
ensembl:rRNA LOC120100437 5S ribosomal RNA